rnacentral:misc_RNA from 1 species
GAUGAAGAACGCAGCGAAAUGCGAUAAGUAAUGUGAAUUGCAGAAUUCAGUGAAUCAUCGAAUCUUUGAACGCACAUUGCGCCCUCUGGUAUUCCGGGGGGCAUGCCUGUUCGAGCGUCAUUAUAACCACUCAAGCUCUCGCUUGGUAUUGGGGUUCGCGGUUCCGCGGCCCCUAAAAUCAGUGGCGGUGCCUGUCGACUCUACGCGUAGUAAUACUCCUCGCGAUUGAGUCCGGUAGGUCUACUUGCCAGCAACCCCCAAUUUUUACAGGUUGACCUCGGAUCAGGUAGGGAUACCCGCUGAACUUAAGCAUAUCAAUAAGCGGAGGA